rnacentral:rRNA from 1 species
UACAGAGGGUGCGAGCGUUAAUCGGAAUUACUGGGCGUAAAGCGCACGUAGGCGGCUUGGUAUGUCGGGUGUGAAAUCCCGGGCUCAACCUGGGAACUGCAUCCGAAACUGCCUUGCUAGAGUAUGGGAGAGGGAAGUGGAAUUUCCGGUGUAGCGGUGAAAUUCGUAGAUAUCGGGAGGAACACCGGUGGCGAAGGCGGCGACCUGGGUCGAUACUGACGCUG